UACGAGGGGGGCAAGCGUUGUUCGGAAUUAUUGGGCGUAAAGGGUGCGUAGGCGGUCUGAUAAGUCAUCUGUGAAAUCUAUGGGCUCAACCCAUAGUCUGCAGGCGAAACUGUCGGGCUUGAGUAUGGGAGAGGUGAGUGGAAUUUCCGGUGUAGCGGUGAAAUGCGUAGAUAUCGGAAGGAACACCUGUGGCGAAAGCGGCUCACUGGACCAUUACUGACGCUGAUGCACGAAGGCCAGGGGAGCAAACGGG
rnacentral:rRNA from 1 species